rnacentral:sRNA from 1 species
UCUGUCCCUCCAUUUCCCCUAGAUGGGAGUAUGGGGGGAUGGAAUGCUCACACACUUCCAACCUAGGGGACCUCUCCCCUCAGCUCUGUCCAUUUAUGCUGCUAAGCAGCUCUCCUGACACCCUGAUGCUCAGAGAAGAGGCAUACAUCUAAGAUGAGAAAGUUUCUGGGAGUGGAUCAUAAAUAAGCAGUGUGCAGGGAGGGGGUGAGGAUGCAGAGACGCCAGAGGGUAGGUGCAGGGUGGGGAUACUUUUGUGAUGCUUCAGCCUUCCUCUAGGUCCGUGUUUAUGAUCCAGCAUCCCCCCAGCGCCGGCCAGUCCUAGAGACCACCUAUGGAGAGUACCCACUAACAGCCAUGACCCUCACUCCGGGAGGCAACUCAGUGAUUGUGGGAAACACUCAUGGGCAGCUGGCAGAAAUUGACCUUCGGCAAGGGUGUCUACUGGGCUGUCUGAAGGGGCUGGCAGGCAGUGUGCGUGGGUUGCAGUGCCACCCUUCAAAGCCUCUACUAGCCUCCUGUGGCUUGGACAGAGUCUUGAGGAUACACAGGAUCCAGAAUCCACGGGGUCUGGAGCAUAAGGUUUAUCUCAAGUCUCAAUUGAACUGCCUCCUCUUGUCAGGCAGGGACAACUGGGAGGAUGAGCCCCAAGAGCCUCAAGAACCCAACAAGGUGCCCCUAGAAGACACAGAGACAGAUGAACUUUGGGCAUCCUUGGAGGCAGCUGCCAAGCGGAAGCUCUCGGGUUUGGAGCAGACCCAAGGAGCUCUCCAAACGAGAUGGAGAAAGAAGAAGCGGCCUGGGUCCACCAGC